rnacentral:rRNA from 1 species
CCUACGGGCGGCAGCAGUGAGGAAUAUUGGUCAAUGGCCGGGAGGCUGAACCAGCCAAGUCGCGUGAGGGAAGACGGCCCUACGGGUUGUAAACCUCUUUUGUCAGGGAGCAAGGUGCAGGUCGGGACCUGCUUUGAGAGUACCUGAAGAAAAAGCAUCGGCUAACUCCGUGCCAGCAGCCGCGGUAAUACGGAGGAUGCGAGCGUUAUCCGGAUUUAUUGGGUUUAAAGGGUGCGCAGGCGGAGGCACAAGUCAGCGGUAAAAUCGGGGGGCUCAACCCCGCUCCGCCGUUGAAACUGUGACCCUUGAGUGCGCGAAGGGUAGGCGGAAUGCGUGGUGUAGCGGUGAAAUGCAUAGAUAUCACGCAGAACUCCGAUCGCGAAGGCAGCCUACCGGAGCGCAACUGACGCUCAUGCACGAAAGCGUGGGUAUCGAACAGGAUUAGAUACCCCAGUAGUC